UUUUUUUUUUUCCCCCCGCUUUGGUGAACUCGCAGUACUUGGGCUGAGCCCGAAAUCUCGCGAGAUGCUGCAGGCGUCAGUGCGGCUUCCCACUAGGCGCGUGGUACCCGAGGCCGGGCCGGAGCCGCAGGCCAGCCGCGAUUCCUUCGGGCGAUGCUGGGGGCUUUCCGGUCGGGGCCGCAGCCGCUUCCGGAGCCGCGGGCGAGGUGCGUUCCCCAGCCUGGUUUGCUCUGGGCUCUGACCCGCCGCCGCGAAUCUCCGCUCGUAACUCCGGGCCUGAACCUGGAGGAGGGAGGAUUUCCUCUGUGCAGCUUUCGAGCGGUAGACUCACCCUGCCAGGCAGACCUAGAUUGGCAUAACCAGAGAUCAGUUCCAGUUGUGAUGCAGUGGGUGUCUACACACUUCUGAUGACACCUUUAUUUUAAAAGCUGAUGUUCCAAGAUUUUUAGGGCAGUUUUUAGUGUCAUUAUGUUGCUGCUACAUAUUUGGAAGAUGGAACAAGCCCAGACAAAGGAGGAUUCUUUUUUACUCAUCUUAAAUCCAUUUUAUUUUCCUUCAUCUGAGCCCCUUAAAACUAAUGUGUUACUGAUCAUUACAACCUGUGGUUCCAAUUAAAGAUUUUAAAGAGAAGAGUUUAAUCCUGCAACAAUUGGUUAGCCCUUCUUAAUUUAGAGGUACCUUUACAAGUUCUUGAUCACCAAGUCGAUUCACCAUGAUCUUGGCUGGCUGUCUUCUUCCUUCAUGGCUGCUAGUAAUGACAAUUCAGUGGCUGUUUCUUCAGCUGUGCAAAGUUGGAACAUGUUUGGGAGUUCAACGGCAUUGGUUUCUGGUGCAAGCGGUCUUCUCUGUCUUCUUUAUGGCCAGUAAAAUUCUCCAGAAGAGAUUUAUGGCAGCCUCACUCCCAGUAGUUUCUGCAUUUAGUGAGAUAAGUACCCUGGGAUGUCACUCAAGUCUCUUUUUAAACCUAUAUCCACUUCACCUCAUUUGGCUUUUUGCCUAUCAGAGGUGAAACAAAAGAGUGAAAUCUUUGCUUGUGGAAUCCUCUCAUGUCAUCAAUUGUUUAUAAAUGUUUAGUAUUUAAAGGACCACUAAGGGCCAGUGGGGAAAAUGAAUCUUAUGGAUGGAUAUCAUCAUUUUUUGCUACUUAAUAAUGUUAUGGACUUUCAAAUGAGAUUUCUGUAACUGGAAUGAGAAAAAUCCUAAUAAGUUUAGGAUGGGUCAGAAGAUUUGUGCAAUGGAGUGAAUGCUUGUGUGCUUCCCAAAUUUCGUAUGUUGAAACUAUAAUCCCAAUGUGAUAGUAGUUGAUGGAAGGGCCUUUGGACAGUGGAGCCCUCAUGAAUGGGAUUAGUGCUCUUAAAAGAAGAGACCAGAGAGCUAGCUAGCUGUCUUUCCACCAUAUGAGGGUGCAAUGGGAAGCUGGCAGUCUGCAACCAGAAGAGGACCCUCACCAGUCCCUCACCGUUCUAGCACCGUGAACUCAGACUUCAGUCUCCAGAACUGUGAGAAAUAAAUUUCUAUUGUUUAUGUCACCCAGUUUAUAGUACUUUGUUAUAGAAGCUCAAAUUGACUAAGAUAAUUUGGAUAUUAGGUUAUAUCGCUUGCAGGAGGUAUGUAACUUCUUGAAACAUGUAAACUCUCUGUGUUGUGUUCUGCUGCCUAAAUCCACCAGAUAAAUAUUUGGUUUACUUUGCUUGGGAAAACUGUUACUCAAAUGUUCUCUGUACAAAUGCAGGAGAGUAAAAUUAUUUCCCCAUUUUAUAUCAGUAAUUGCUAUUUUAUUUGUCAGUAAGUGUUUCAUUAUGAUUUAAACAAUUGGUAUAAGUAUAUUAAUAUAAUUAUUUACUAGUUGCUAAAAAUAUAUGCUGCAUCUUAUGAAAAUACAUUUAAAAAACACUCGAAUGGGUCAUUUGACAUGAAAGCAUCAUUCGAUUUAGAAUUCAGAGACUAAGUUGCCAAAAGAGGAAAAUAUUUAAUACCAUUCCCUGAAGGCUAGUAAGUUUAUAAUUAGCAGGAUCACCAGAGGGAGUAAAUUUAGAGCUGAAAACCACUCACUGAUUCUGUAGUAUACUUGAAUAAAAUAAGGUCACUGUCCAUGUAGCUGGCCAAAUAGCUUGGCACAAUAUGGAAGAAGGAACUAGUUUGGCAGCCUUGGGAAAUAUGAUUAUUAUAAAAAAUUUUAAUAUUUUUAAUUAAACAAACCAUCAAUUCAUUUUAAAACCAGGAUAUUUCCUCAUUUGAUUAAGUUUUUCAUACUAGAAAAUUAGAAUUGUGACUAUGUGUAUCAGAAUAGAGAUGAACUUUAGGCUCUUUUUGAUAUGGAAUUUGUUCCUGGUUUACUGGCAGCUAUUUCAAGACUUGGGGUUCUAGAAGACCUUUUUCUUAAGUUUUCUCUAUCUCCUAGGAAAGACGUUGAACCCUAAAAUGUCAUUUAAAAGAGUGCCAACUCAAAUUAGAACAUCAUUUACAAUAAAAGACAGUAGGUAAGGUUUACAGCUGUAAUUAACUGGUAAUUCAGGAUAGGAAGCACAAAUUUUUCUAAACUAUCAAAGAUAAUUAAGAGGUUAUGGACUCAGCCUGAAUUAUCCCAGUGGUUCACUGUACAAUUCAAAUAUACAUGGUGACUCUAACUCCAUACUUAUAAUUUUAAGGCUUAUUUUGGAAAAAAAUGCCUUUGCAAGCUUUGAGAUACAUUACUUAAAGCUGCAGAGCCUCUUCUUGAAGACCACUGAAGCUAACUAGCAUAUAUUUCCUGGCUUGAUGAGGUCUUCAAGAGCCUGAUGAUUAUUCCUAGGUUCACGUAUUAUACACAACUAACCAUUUGUCCCAUAGCACCUUAUUUUCUCCAGCUAACAGAUUAAUAGUCUGAAAAAUCUGUUCUCUUAAUUGAACAACUGUCUCUCUCAGAACUCACUGGGAUAAAGCCAAUUGUCCACAAGACAGACAAGUCAGGAAGGGGCCUGACUUCUGAAUGACUGAUGAUCCAUAUCUUAGCAAAGAGAGUUUGACAUAAAAGGGUCUCAUGAACUCUAGGUAAGGCAGGUAGCUAACCUUGAAAGCCUGAUCAGAAGUGACACCUGGAUGGCCUGUCUCUACUGGCCUGCUAUUCAAGGGGAGAGGUGAGGCAAGAGCCCAGUAAGGAGGCCUGGCAAAGGUGAGGCAAGAUUCAUUUCUCUUGGGGUAUCGGAAUAGAAUGAAAAACAGGACCAAGGCAGAAGCUCAGUUAAACAAACCAGUGCCACAGACUCAACCAAGAUUGAAUUCUGUUACCACAGACGCCAAGGAGCCACACAGAACUCCUCUCCAGCUUCCCCAAACCUGCUUUUCUGCCUUUCCCAUUUCAGUAAAUGGCACCACCGUCCAUUUUCCCCAGGUCUCCCAUGCUAGACAUGUUACUUUUUUUGUCUCUUAGCUCCAAAUAUCUGCUGUAGGCUUUCAUAAUAAAGUUUGACUGCAUAUUAAAACUGUAGCAAAAACACUGGCAGACUAAAAGCUGAUUUCAUUUCCUUAAAGGUAAAAAGAACUUAGUUUUACAAAUAUGGGACCCAUCUCCACACUUUGAAGGGGGUCGGAAAUAUUUGUUUUAUGUCCUGAGGUUACAAAUAAGGGGUGAUGCUCCUCCUCAUAGAUUUAUUAGAAUCUCCCUUCUAAUACUAAAAAUAAAAGGGAAAAUUCCAUAUUAAAACAGGCUAAUUGUUUAUAUCCAGCAGACAGAUACCGGCUGGAAAACCUUUAUUUUUGAAGGAAAGUACUUAUGUAAUUUCUAAACAUAAGAAAAAUAAUGGGCUUUGCUCUCUUUUUUUGCUGGUUAGUUUUGCUAAUUACUUGAGCCUUCUGGCAAGAACAUUGAAAUGAUAAUUUUAUCAGUUUAGUCACUUUUUGUCAUAUGUGAAAAAUGAGUUACUGACAUUUGUCAAUCAGUCUUUGCCUUAUUCCUCUGGUUGGUGUGAAACAAAGUGGUGCAGAGAAUUUUAGACUGUUGCUACCAUUUGUACUCCAAAUGAUAGCAUAUUCCUGAUUUUCAAUAACCAGAUAAGGAUGGACUUUUCUUGCCUGUGCCACCAAAUAUCAUUCCUAAUAAAACACCAAAGUUUAUCAUCUUGUGAUAAACAUAGAGAAACUCUAUUCAAGAUAGGUGCACAUCUACUUGUAAUUAGAAUUAGUUAAUGAGACUAAGCAUUCUAAAUGUCCUGCUUCACAGCAGGUACUAUGGGGAAUUGAGUUCAUUUGGUAAUAUAUUUUGAUUUUGUCUGAUUUCUAAUAAGACUGAUGAACUAUCCCCUAAACAUUUUUAUUAGCACAUAGUAUGUGUCAGCUCUUGGGGUUGAUACCAUGAAGAGUAAGAUACAAUCUCACUACCUAGAAAUGAGUCUACCCAAAUAGAGACUCUUUUUAAUGCUUUCAACCCAUAAAAACAUUUUUGGGGGGAUUCUACUGAAGAAGCAAUGGAGACAUCCAUUGGAGGUUAACAGUAUUCCUUUGAGUGGUGUGAUUAAAGGUGCUUUUAUAUUUUCCAAGUUUUUAGUUUGUUUGUUUUGCAGAAAAUGUAUUUAAUGUUCUAUAAGUGGGA
rnacentral:lncRNA from 1 species